UGGCCAGACUGGUCUCGAAAUCCUGACCUCAAGUGAUCCGUCUGCCUUGGCCUCUCAAAGUGCUGGGAUUAUAGGUGUGAGCCACCGCGCCCGGCCGCUAAUUUUGUAUUUUUAGUAGAGACAGGGUUUCACCAUGUUGGCCAGGCUGGUCUUGAACUCCUGACCUCAGGUGAUUAGCCCGCCUCGGCCUCCCAAAGUGCUGGGAUUAUAGGCGUGAGAAACAAAUUUAUUUUUUGUUUGUUUGUUUUUUGAGAUGGAGUUUCGCUCUGUUGCCCAGGCUGGAGUGCAGUGGCUGGAUCUUGGCUCAUUGCAAGCUCCGCCUCCCGAGUUCACGCCAUUUUCCUGCCUCAGCCUCCCGAGUAGCUGGGACUACAGGCUCCCGAUACCAUGCCCGGCUAAUUUUUUGUAUUUUUGGUAGAGACUGGGUUUCACCGUGUUAGUCAGGAUGGUCUUGAACUCCUGACCUCGUGAUCCGCCCGCCUCAGCCUCCCAAAGUGCUGGGAUUACAGGCAUGAGAAACAAAUAUUUUUAUGAAGCUGGGAUUCGGCUGCAUGUACAGCUCGGUAAUGUCCCCAGCGUUUGAAUUGGGAAACAGUUGCUGCUGUGCAUUUCUUCCAUCCGUAUUUGUGCACAUGCGCAGUGACGUCAAUGUUUAGACGUGAAGCAGUCGAGUCACAGAGUGUGACUGGGAAUUGGACCUUGAUAGACGUUUGAUAAGUUUGUUAUCCAGACACCGAUCGGAAAGGGUGCACCUAAUGCACUCUACAAGGUCUGCAUGAGGGCCUCUUUUUGCCAGUUUAGAAGGAGAAGUAGGAAUGGGGCCCGGCCCUUCCCCUCACACCAAGCAGCUGAGCGACGGUGGAGCUGAGCUGUGAUGGCUGCGGACCCGCGU
rnacentral:lncRNA from 10 species